CCAGAAGGCAGGCAGGGGCCGGUCGGGUUCUGUUUUUGUCUCGUGGGUAGGCAGGUGUCUACCUUCUCACCCUCGGUCAGGGCUCACGACUACGUCGUCAUAGUCGGCGGUCGUGGUGUUUGUCCUCCGAAGAUCUUCUGAUCUGGUCUCCUGCUUCGAACGGGCGGAGUCCUUCGUUGCGUUUUAGUUUCGAAGGUCUUUAGCUGCCGUAACUAACGGGAGCGUCCGGUGUCGUGCCUAGCGAACUGGUAUGUACCGUGCGUCGUUAUUCGUGUUCCUAAUACAUUUCAAAAGUAACGUUUUUUCGACCUAAUAGUAUGUGAGAAGGGGACAAAUAUAUGCGACUGUGCCGCUGGGCCUGGUAGAAGGAGUUAGAGUCAGGUCUCAGAGCCUUCCAGUCGAGGAGCCCGGUAGCAGCCGCAGCAGGGAGGAGAAACGGCGGGGGGAAGGAGACCGAUGACCAUCACGGUCAUGAUCAUGAUGGUCAUCAUAUAUUGUUAAGUUAGGGCAGGUGGUUGGUGUGGUUCUUGGCGCUCGCUCGCUCGAGCCCUAGGCCAAACUUUAACGGUACCUCCGCCGGCGGCUCGACCGCGUCGCGGACGCCCGGCGCCGGUUGCUCGCCGACCGCCCCGUCCUCGGCGAGGAGGAGCAGCGGCGCGGCGACGAGCGCGAGGAGCGGCGCGCGCGGCAGGUGCGGCGGCGGCGGCUGCAGCGGCUGGCGCCGGAGGCGUGGCAGGAGUAGUGGGAGCGGUACCGGCGGCAGUUCAACCACGGCCCCCAGUCGCCCAUGUAGCGGCGGCUCUUCUCGUUCCAACAACUCUUCAACGUCAGUCCUUCACGCAGGUCGUUCUUCUUAGACGCUUGGCUCGACGGGCGGCAGCCCUAGGGGCUGUCCCAGUAUCCGCUAGAGGUCCGGGAGUUUCUGUUCCUACACUCUACCGUCCCCUUUACGAGGCCGUGUCACAUGUACGUGGAGUUGCUGUGCUACUUGAGUUUGACGAAACACGAGAAUGUUAAAGUUUAGGAUGAGAUGACAAAAGUGUAAAAGAAGAAGUACAGUUUAUUCGCACGGAUUGAGAUGAGAGACUAAGAACGUCAAUAUAGCGACCCUCGCUCAGACUUCCGGUAAAAAGUGACUAUUUGUUCCGGAUGAGAUACAAAAGUGUGUGUUUAGGUGACGUAGUCCUACAUAAGUUCUCACACCGUGUCAAUCUCCGACUUCAUCAACGUUACUGUCGACGAAACGAACCGUCGUUUCUUUUCCGCAGACCACCUGUUUAAACACCGUUAUACUGCAGUCCGCCUUGACUUUCGUAUAAUAACCGGCAGUUUUGUAGUGCGCUAAUAUACGUCAGUUUCUUCCCUUAGUGUUUCGGGCUUUACUAAUAACGACUUAGUCGAGUAAGACGGAUACUGUUUCGACGGGUUAUAAAGUUAUAAUUUCACGCCGCACAUGGACACUUAUUUCUUAAAGAACGUCUACAUUUUCCUAAGUUUGCCACGUAUUUACCUUUGUGGUAUUACUACCAACCUAGACGUGGUCCCAAAGGGGUACCAAAUUAACUAGGAUAACUCCUUGAACCCCUCAACCGAAGUGUUAUACCAUAAACGAACGUACAACUAGAUACGGAACCACCGAAGCAUAACGGAAAGCGGGCAUUCGAACCCAUGGGAUAAGGAGGAAAACUAAAAAGACAGUUUCCACAAUGCAGGUAGAGUUGCCUACAAGUAUUCAUACCCGAUCGAGGUUUUCCGUGGUCAUGACAGGAUAUGUCCUUAGUACGUUAAUCUUUCGUGGUUAAACAACGACACUGACUUACCUGACCACCCGAGAUAUAAAGGGGAUGAUACCGACCUUCGUCCGGUCCACCUGAUCAGCGUCCUCGAACCCGACGCUACUACAGAGAACCUAACUUACCAAUAAACCUUUCAUGACCAUUCUAGUACCUUCAGAGUUUCUUCUAUGUUUUUCCUUAACUACUAUAGAGUCCAAAUAAACACUAACCCUUCGGUCUGUACUGGCAGCACCGGAAACCCAGCCUGCGCCAGCUGUAUAAACUCCAUUUACUGUAUUACAGUAGUUUUCCUACCGUGGAGUUACGAGAAGUCUCUGGGUUGUCAGACGUGUAGACGCACUGCGAAGUUGUGUGCCGAUAGAUACUCCUUAAGGAGUUCCUGGAGCUCCUAAGGCACCUGUGUCACUUUCGCUUAGGUCCCGGAUAGUCACCCCCCUACCGAGGGUAGAUACCGCGCCGACCCUUCUACGGCCUGUCUCCGUGCCAGUUCCUCAACGAACACCUCAAGUACCUGUCGAGAACGAUUGGUAACUGAUAUGGGGUAACCAAUAGAGAGACAUUGUACAUACUGACAACACACUAGAAGAUAUAAACCAAACCGACGUUUUGUC
rnacentral:rRNA from 1 species